CAGGAUUCGGCCCCCCCGCUUCACGGUUUUCAAGGUGUGGCCUGUUUCAUCCUGCUUAGAGAACGGGGUAAAGCAGAGAUCCCUUUAGAGUAUUUUACUGGUGGAUAUGGAUAGAUGUUGGAUGUGGAUCUCUGGUAGAACUCAGCCUUAAUGUGCCUUCCUCAUCCUUCUGCAGAGGCUGCAUUGCUGGUGUUACAGAAGUGAAUGGUUGCAGUUAAAUUUGCCAAACUGCGAACUACAGUAGCUGCAGGGUGGGCAAGUGUUUACURCAGGGCGAUCGUCUCUGGCAGAGAGAUAAAAGAAAAUGCAAGCAUGUAAGAAGCAGCUAUAAUCUCCUACUCCAGACCAGGCUGUGAACAGUCCUUGUGUGUCUGAGCAGCACCUGGAAGAAAUCUUCUCGCCUCCGACACCUCUUGUGUGUGCGCAAAGCAUCAUGAUGCAGCAGGUACUUACUGGCAUGCGCAAAGUUUGCACUAAGUUAGCAACACUUUUCUCAGCAGGCCGUUUUCCCUUCUCCCACAGUGCCCUGGAAACUGACCUAGCAGGGGCUUCUUGCAAGGCUACACGCAGUGCAGUGACCCAAUGUUUACUGCUCCAUAGCAAGAGCAGCAGAAUGAGACAUACGGCUUCAUUUCAGACACUCCAGUCUGUAUAAUAAAGGUACAACACUG
rnacentral:lncRNA from 1 species